CCUACGGGAGGCAGCAGUGAGGAAUAUUGGUCAAUGGGCGCGAGCCUGAACCAGCCAAGUCGCGUGAGGGAAGACGGUCCUAUGGAUUGUAAACCUCUUUUGUCGGGGAGCAAAAGACGCCACGCGUGGCGUUCCGAGAGUACCCGAAGAAAAAGCAUCGGCUAACUCCGUGCCAGCAGCCGCGGUAAUACGGAGGUGGCAAGCGUUGUCCGGAAUUACUGGGUGUAAAGGGAGCGUAGGCGGGAAGCCAAGUCAGCUGUGAAAACUACGGGCUUAACCUGUAGACUGCAGUUGAAACUGGCUUUCUUGAGUGAAGUAGAGGUUGGCGGAAGUCCGGGUGUAGCGGUGAAAUGCGUAGAUAUUCGGAGGAACACCGGUGGCGAAGGCGGCCAACUGGGCUUUAACUGACGCUGAGGCUCGAAAGUGUGGGGAGCAAACAGGAUUAGAUACCCUUGUAGUC
rnacentral:rRNA from 1 species